CGCUUUAUUCUACUUUCGGUUUCAACGUUUAUUUUCAUAUCUGAUUCAUACAGGGUGGACUUUGUGUUAACCGUGGAUGUUAACCAAGUGACACUUUGUAAAGAAUACAGGGUGAAAGGACGGUACACAAUGGACAUGAGGGGGAAAGAAGCAUUUCGGAAGAUUCUGCCAGAGUUUUGCCGAACGGUUGAUUCCAUGACUCUAAUCAAUGACUUACAAUGUUUAUCCCAAACUGAUAGGGACCAAAUAGUGAACUCGCAGAUAGGCGCGUUGCAUGGUUCCACCUCUCUCGCCGCUCAGAAACUACACAGUGCUUUGAUUCGGAGCCCACAAGGAUUCCGAGAGAUCGUGUUGGCAUUGAGGAACAAUAAUCAUGGCGAUCUGGCAGACAAAUUGGACCCUGGUCAUAACAUUAAUUAGCUGUAUUAGAAGUGCUGUGGAUUUAAUGAUAUUGAAGUGAAUGUGUGAAUCAGUGUUGCUUGUACGCCUCAAUUUGUUAUUAAUUGUUACCAAGUAUUCUAAAUUUUAUGUUUCGACAGAGUGAGCUGAUUGACAUGCACUCUUUAGUGUUCGAAAUAAAAUUUUGUUCAAUGG